UUUAAUGAGGACCUGUAUGAAUGGCAUAACGAGGGCUUAACUGUCUCCUCUUUCCAGUCAAUGAAAUUGAUCUCUCCGUGCAGAAGCGGAGAUAAAAACAUAAGACGAGAAGACCCUAUGGAGCUUUAGACACAAAGACAGAUCAGGUUAAACACCCCACAACAAAGGCCCAAACUUAAUGAUCUCCUGUCCUAAUGUCUUCGGUUGGGGCGACCAUGGGGAAACACAAAUCCCCCAUGUGGAAUAGGAGGACAAUCCCAUAUUAUUUUCCUCUCCYCCCACAAGCAARAGCCACAACUCUGCUAACAGAACUUUUGACCUUAUAUGAUCCGGCGCACGCCGAUAAACGGACCAAGUUACCCUAGGGAUAACAGCGCAUUCCCCUUUUAGAGCCCAUAUCGACAAGGGGGUUUACGACCUCGAUUUUGGAUCAGGACAUCCUAAUGGUGCACCCGCUAUUAAGGGUUCGUUUGUUCAACGAUAAAAGUCCUACUUGAUCUGAGUUCAAACCGGAGGUCAUAGCUUUU
rnacentral:rRNA from 1 species